UCUUGAACCAUUCUUUCUUUCCUGGUUGAAAGUUACCUGAAUCCCAUCCCUACAUCCAGUUCUAUCUGCUCUUUGCACAACUAAAAUGGUCAAGUGUAAAUGUCAGCUCAUUCACAUUUAAGUGUUCAGCUCAUCUGUUUGCCCAGGUCAGCCUUGGGAACCCCUCAUCUCUGCAGCACAGUGAGGUUGUAGGUCAAGGUCCUCCCACACCCUGAAUUUGGGAGUCCUGGCAUCAGAUUUGUGUUUAGAUCCUGGCUCUGCCACCUCCUGGCUUUGUGAGGUAGACAGCUUACUUGAACUCCUUGAUUCUUCAUUACUUCAUCUGUAAAAUGGGCCACAUGCCCAUUUCAUCAAUUUGUGGUGAGGAUUAAAUAAAAUGUUAAAGUUCAUGUAAGUUCAUCUGCCUCAUUCCAUGAAGGGUUUUCAGUGGUACACCCACACAAACACACAUUGAAAUGAAAGAAAGGAGGGAGGGAAGGAAGGAAGGAAGGAAGGAAGGAGAGAAAUAAACCAAUUAAAAUAAAGAAUACUAGAGGUUUAAUAAAAUAUUUAUUCUUAUUAAUAAAAGUUAUGUUUGCCAUGUGCGGUGGCUCACGCCUGUAAUCCCAGCACUUUGGGAGGCCGAGGCAGGCGGAUGACGAGGUCAGGAGUUCAAGACUAGCCUGACCAAUAUGGUGAAACCCCAUCUCUACUAAAAAUACAAAUAUUAGCCAGGGGUGGUAGUGCAAGCCUGUAAUCCUGUCUACUCGGGAGGCUGAGGCAGAACAAUCCCUUGAACCUGGGAGGCGGAGGUUGCAGUGAGCCACAAUCAUGCCACUGAACUCCAGAGUGAGACUCCAUCUCAAAAAAAAAAAAAAAAAAGUGGCAUGUUCAGUGAUAUAUAGUCAUUUUUAAACUUGAGGUUUCUGGAGUGUGUUUUAUUUUAAGAACUUUUUUUUAACCUCAGAACAAAUGUACAAAACUUAAAGAAAACACAAGAUAUGAAUUUUUCAACCUACUUUUCAAUUUCAAUUAGUUUCUGUCCCUGGACAGGAAUGGCUUUCCUAUAACUAGAUGGUGAUGUUGCUAGCACUCUAUCCCAGGUCCCUUUCCUGGACAGGAAGUUGAGGCAUCACCGGCCUGGUUUUACCUCCAGGAUGACAACACUCACAUCAAGGUGUUAGAGGCAUUUGAAUCAGAACAACUCCAUCUUGAAUAGGAGCUGGGUACUAGGUUUUCCCAGAAGGUGAAGCAUUCUAAGUAACAGGAUGAGAGGAGGUAAGCACAAGAUACAGGUCAUAAAGACCUUGCUGAUAAGACAGAUUGCAGUAAACAAGCCGGUCAAAACCCAACAAAAGCAAGAUGGCAAUGAGAGUGACCUCUGGUCGUCCUCACUGCUACACUCCCACCCAUGACAGUUUACAAAUGCCAUAGCAACAUCAGGAAGAUACCCUAUAUGGCCUAAAAAGGAGGGGCAUGAAUAAUCCAUUCCUUGUUUAGCAUAUCAUCAGAAAAUAACCAUAAAAAUGGGCAACCAGCAGCCCUCGGGGAUGCUCUGUCUAUGGAGUAGCCAUUCUUUUAUUUCUUUACUUUCUUAAUAUACUUGCUUUCACUUUAGUUUAUGGACUGCCCUGAAUUCUUUCCUGUGCAAGAUCCAUGAGCUUUCUUUUGGAGUCUGGAUCUGGGCCCUGUCAGGCCUCUGAGCCCAAGCCAAGCCAUCGCAUCCCGUGACUUGCACGUAUAUACGCCCAGAUGGCCUGAAGUAACUGAAGAAUCACAAAAGAAGUGAAUAUGCCCUGCCUCACCUUAACUGAUGACAUUCCACCACAAAAGAAGUGUAAAUGGCCGGUCCUUGCCUUAACUGAUGACAUUACCUUGUGAAAGUCCUUUUCCUGGCUCAUCCUGGCUCAAAAAGCACCCCCACUGAGCACCUUGCGACCCCGCACUCCUGCCCGCCAGAGAACAAACCCCCUUUGACUGUAAUUUUCCUUUACCUACCCAAAUCCUAUAAAACGGCCCCACCCUUAUCUCCUUUCACUGACUCUCUUUUCAGACUCAGCCCGCCUGCACCCAGGUUAAAUAAACAGCCAUGUUGCUCACGCAAAGCCUGUUUGGUGGUCUCUUCACACGGACGCGCAUGAAAUUUGGUGCCAUGACUCGGAUCAGGGGACCUCCCUUGGGAGAUCAAUCCCCUGUCCUCCUGUUCUUUGGUCUAUGAAAAAGAUCCACCUACGACCUCAGGUCCUCAGACCCACCAGCCCAAGGAACAUCUCACCAAUUUUAAAUCGGGUAAGUGGCCUCUUCUUACUCUCUUCUCCAACCUCUCUCACUAUUCCUCAACCACUUUCUCCUUUCCACUCUUUAAUCUCUCCCUUCUCUUAAUUUCAAUUCCUUUCAUUUUCUGGUAGAGACAAAGGAGACACAUUUUAUCUGUGGACCCAAAACUCCGGCGCCAGUCACGGACUGGGAAGGCAGCCUUCCUUUGGUGUUUAAUCAUUGCAGGGAUACCUCUCUGAUUAUUCACCCACAUUUCAGAGGUGUCAGACCCCGCAGGGAUGCCUGCCUUGGUCCUUCACCCUUAGAGGCAAGUCCCGCUUUUCUUGGGGAUGGGCAAGUACCCCAACCUCGUAUCUCUGCGCCCCGAUCCCUUAUUUCCGUGCCCCGACCUCUUAUAUCUCUGCGCCCUGAUCCCUUAUUUCCGUGCCCCAACCUCUUACAUCUCUGCGCCCCAAUACCUUACUUCCAUGCCCCAACUUCGUAUCUCUGUGCCCCGACCCCUUUCCUGCUUUUCUGGAGGGUAAGAACCCCUGAACCACUUCCCUCCAUGUCUCUACUCUCCCUUUUCUUUAAACUUGCCUCCUUCACUAUAGGCAAUCUUCCACCCUCCAUUCCUCCUUCUUCUCCCUUAGCCAGUGUUCUCAAAAACUUAAAACCUCUUCAACUCACACCUGACCUAAAACCUAAAUGUCUUAUUUUCUUCUGCAAUGCUGCUUGACCCCAAUACAAACUCGACAGUAGUUCCAAAUAGCCAGAAAACCACACUUUCAAUGUUUCCAUCCUGCAAGAUCUAAAUAAUUCUUGUCGUAAAAUAGGCAAACGGUCUGAGGUGCCUGACGUCCAGGCAUUCUUUUACACAUCAGUCCCUUCCUAGUCUCUGUGCCCAAUGCAACUCAUACCAAAUCUUCCUCCUUUCCCUCCUGCCUGUCCCCUCAGUCCCAACCCCAAGCGUCACUGAGUCUUUCUAAUCUUCCUUUUCUACAGACCCAUCUGACAUCUCCCCUCCUAGCCUGGCCAAGCUAGGUCCCAAUUCUUCCUCAGCCUCCCCUCCUCCACCCUAUAACCCUUUUAUCACCUCCCCUCCUCACACCUGGUCCCGCUUACAGUUUCGUUCCGCCACUAGCCCUCCCCCACCUGCCCAGCAAUUUCCUCUUAAAAAGGUGGCUGGAGCUAAAGGCAUAGUCAAGGUUGAUGCUCCUUUUUCUUUAUCCUACCUCUCCCAAAUCAGUAGCGUUUAGGCUCUUUUUCAUCAAAUAUGAAAAACCCAGCCCAGUUCAUGGCCCCUUUGGCAGCAACCCUGAGACGCUUUACAGCCCUAGACCCUAUAAGGUCAAAAGGUCGUCUUAUUCUUAGUAUACAUUUUAUUACCCAAUCCGCUCCCAACUUUAAAUAAAACUCCAAAAAUUAAAUUCCAGCCCUCAAACUCCACAACAGGACCUAAUUAACCUUGCCUUCCAGGUGUACAAUAAUAGAAAAAAGGCAAUUCCUUGUCUCCACUGGGAGACAAACCCCAGCCAUAUCUCCAGCACACAAGAACUUCCAAAUGCCUGAACCGCAGCAGCCAGGCGUUCCUCCAGAGCCGCCUCCCCCAGGAGCUUGCUACAAGUGCCAGAAAUCUGGCCACCAGGCCAAGGAAUGCCCGCAGCCCGGGAUUCCUCCUAAGCCAUGUCCCAUCUGUGUGGGACCCCACUGAAAAUCGGACUGUUCAACUUACCUGGCAGCCACUCCCAGAGCCCCUGGGACUCUGGCCCAAGGCUCUCUGACUGACUCCUUCCCAGAUCUUCUCGGCUUAGCAGCUGAAGACUGACACUGCCCAAUUGCCUCGGAAGCCUACAGGACCAUCACAGACAGUCUGGGUAAUUCUCACAGUGGAGGGUAAGUCCGUCCCCUUCUUAAUCAAUACGGAGGCUACCGACUCCACAUUACCUUCUUUUCAAGGGCCUGUUUCCCUUGCCUCCAUAACUGUUGUGGGUAUUGACGGCCAGGCUUCUAAACCUCUUAAAACUCCCCAACUCUGGUGCCAACUUAGACAAUACUCUUUUAAGCACUCCUUUUUAGUUAUCCCCACCUGCCCAGUUCCCUUAUUAGGCUGAGACACUUUAACUAAAUUAUCUGCUUCCCUGACUAUUCCUGGGCUACAGCCACACCUCACUGCCACCUUUUCCCCCAGUUCAAAGCCUCCUUCACAUCCUCCCUCUCGUAUCCCCCCCACCUUAACCCACAAGCAUAGGAUACCUCUACUCCCUCCUUGGCGACCGAUCAUGCACCCCUUACCAUCUCAUUAAAACCUAAUCACUCUUACCCCACUCAACGCCAAUAUCCCAUCCCGCAGCAUGCUUUAAAAACAUUAAAGCCUGUUAUCACUCGCCUGCUACAGCAUGGCCUUUUAAAGCCUAUAAACUCUCCUUACAAUUCCCAUAUUUUACCUGUCCUAAAACCAGACAAGCCUUACAAGUUAGUUCAGGAUCUGCGCCUUAUCAACCAAACUGUUUCACCUAUCCACCCCGUGGUGCCAAACCCAUAUACUCUCCUAUCCUCAAUGCCUUCCUCUACAACCUAUUAUUCUGUUCUAGAUCUCAAACAUGCUUUCUUUACUAUUCCUUUGCACCUUUCCUCCCAGCCUCUCUUCGCUUUCACUUGGACUGACCCUGACACCCAUCAAGCUCAGCAAAUUACCUAGGCUGUACUGCUGCAAAGCUUCACAGACAGCCCCCAUUACUUCAGUCAAGCCCAAAUUUCUUCCUCAUCUGUUACCUAUCUCGGCAUAAUUCUCAUAAAAACACACGUGCUCUCCCUGCCAAUCGUGUCCAACUGAUCUCUCAAACCCCAGCACCUUCUACAAAACAACAACUCCUUUCCUUCCUAGGCAUGGUUAGCGUGGUCAGAAUUCUUACACAAGAGCCAGGACCGCACCCUGUAGCCUUUCUGUCCAAACAACUUGACCUUACUGUUUUAGCCUAGCCCUCAUGUCUGCGUGCAGCAGCUGCCGCUGCUUUAAUACUUUUAGAGGCCCUCAAAAUCACAAACGAUGCUCAACUCACUCUCUACAGUUCUCAUAACUUCCAAAAUCUAUUUUCUUCCUCAUACCUGACGCAUAUACUUUCUGCUUCCCGGCUCCUUCAGCUGUACUCACUCUUUGUUGAGUCUCCCACAGUUACUGUUGUUCCUGGCCCAGACUUCAAUCCGGCUUCUCACAUUAUUCUGGAUACCACACCUGACCCUCAUGACUGCAUCUCUCUGAUCCACCUGACGUUCACCCCAUUUCCCCACAUUUCCUUCUUCCCUGUUUCUCACCGUGAUCACACUUGGUUUAUUGAUGGCAGUUCCACCAGGCUUAAUCGCCACUCACCAGCAAAGGCAGGCUAUGCUGUAGUAUCUUCCACAUCUAUCAUUGAGGCUACCGCUCUGCCCCCCUCCACUACCGCUCAGCAAGCCGAACUAGUUGCCUUAACUCAAGCCCUCACUCUUGCAAAAGGACUACGCAUCGAUAUCUAUACUGAUUCUAAAUAUGCCUUUCAUAUUCUGCACCACCAUGCAGUCAUAUGGGCUGAAAGAGGUUUUCUCACUACACAAGGGUCCUCCAUCAUUAAUCCCUCUUUAAUAAAAACUACUCAAGCCCACUUUACUUCCAAAGGAAGCUGGGGUCAUUCACUGCAAGGGGCGUCAAAAGGCGUCAGAUCCCAUUGCUCUAGGCAACACUUAUGCUGAUAAGGUGGCUAGACAAGCAGCUAGCUCUCCAACUUCUGUCCCUCACGGCCAGUUUUUCUCCUUCACAUCGGUCACUCCCACCUACUCCCCUGCUGAAACUUCCACCUAUCAAUCUCUUCCCACACAAGGCAAAUGGUUCUUAGACCAAGGAAAAUAUCUCCUUCCAGCCUCACAGGCCCAUUCUAUUCUGUCGUCAUUUCAUAACCUCUUCCAUGUAGGUUACAAGCCACUAGCCCGUCUCUUAGAACCUCUCAUUUCCUUUCCAUCGUGGAAAUCUAUCCUCAAGGAGAUCACUUCUCAGUGUUCCAUCUGCUAUUCUACUACCCCUCAUGGAUUGUUCAGGCCUCCUCCCUUUCCUACACAUCAAGCUCGGGGAUUUGCCCCUGCCCAGGACUGGCAAAUUGACUUUACUCACAUGCCUCGAGUUAGAAAACUAAAAUAUCUCUUAGUCUGGGUAGACACUUUCACUGGAUGGGUAGAGGCCUUUCCUACAGGGUCUGAGAAGGCCACCACAGUCAUUUCUUCCCUUCUGUCAGACAUAAUUCCUCAGUUUAGUCUUCCCACCUCUAUACAGUCUGAUAACAGACCAGCCUUUAUUAGUCAAAUCAGCCAAGCAGUUUUUCAGGCUCUUAGUAUUCAGUGACAGACUAAUGGUCUACUAAAAACACACCUCACCCAGCUCAGCCACCAACUUAAAAAGGACUGGACCAUACUUUUACCACUUUCACUUCUCUGAAUUCAGGUCUGUCCUUGGAAUGCUACAAGGUACAGCCCAUUUAAGCUCCUGUAUAGACGCUCCUUUUCAUUAGGCCCCAGUCUCAUUCCAGACACCAGACCAACUUAGACUGUGCCCCAAAAAACUUGUCAUCCCUACUAUCUUCUGUUUAGUCAUACUCCUAUUCACCGUUCUCAACUACUCAUAAAUGACUUGCUCUUGUUUACACUGCCAGUUUAGACUGUUUCUCCAAGCCAUCACAGCUGAUAUCUCCUGGUGCUAUCCCCAAACCGCCACUCUAAACUCUUGAAGUAAAUAAAUAAUCUUUGCUGGCAGGACUAUGCUGAAUCUCCUUAGGCAUCUCUAAUCAGAUGUCCUGGGUCCUCCCAAUUCUUAGACCUUUUAUACCUGUUUUUCUCCUUCUCUUAUUCCAUUUAGUUUUUCAAUUCAUACAAAACUGUAUCCAGGCCAUCACCAAUAAUUCUACACGACAAAGUUUCUUCUAACAACCACACAAUAUCACCCCUUACCACAAAAUCUUCCUUCAGCUUAAUCUCUCCCACUCUAGGUUCCCACACCGCCCCUAACCCCGCUCGAAGCAGCCCUGAGAAACAUUGCCCAUUCUCUCUCUCCAUACCACCCCCCAAAAUUUUUCGCCGCCCCCACACUUCAACACUAUUUUGUUUUAUUUUUCUUAUUAAUAUAAGAAGGCAGGAAUGUCAGGCCUCUGAGCCCAAGCCAAGCCAUCACAUCCCCUGUGACUUGCACCUAUACACCCAGAUGGCCUGAAGUAACUGAAGAAUCACAAAAGAAGUGAAUAUGCCCUGCGCCGCCUUAACUGAUGACAUUCCACCACAAAAGAAGUGUAAAUGGCCGGUCCUUGCCUUAACUGAUGACAUUACCUUGUGAAAGUCCUUUUCCUGGCUCAUCCUGGCUCAAAAAGCACCCCCACUGAGCACCUUGCGACCCCCACUCCGGCCCACCAGAGAACAAACCCCCUUUGACUGUAAUUUUCCUUUACGUACCCAAAUCCUAUAAAACGGCCCCACCCCUAUCUCCCUUAGCUGACUCUCUUUUCGGACUCAGCCCGCCUGCACCCAGGUGAAAUAAACAGCCAUGUUGCUCACACAAAGACUGUUUGGUGGUCUCUUCACACGGACGCGCAUGAAAGGCCCCUUUCCGGUAACAAAGGUGCUAUCAAGAAACAGAGGGGUUGGUUGAUGCUUCUUAACCUUGUUAAUGUCAAAUUUUCUGCAUCUGAGUAGUGCUUUGAAAACCCCGGUAAGGUGUAAGACAUGGGAACUUUUGUGCCUAUUGGAAACCAGAAUAUGCCACACCAAAGUAUAUAGGAUUAUUGAGCCAAAGGCAAUGAAGGAGGAGAUGCAGGAAAGCACUCUGCCCUCCAUGUGCCUAAAAGCAGGAUAUAAAUAUGCAAAGGCAAAGGGUUUCCAUGCCCUCACCUACCAGAGAGAAGAAAUGUUAACCCUUUAAGACAACGUUAGCCGGUGGAGAUGGCAGCAGUGGAAUCUACAUUAACCAGCUUUCCUAACUUGCCGUUAAGUGCCCUUAGUUUACCUUUCCAAAAGUUGCUAUUCUGCACAUUCAAAGUUCCUUUCCUUUGUUUUGUCGCUUCUCUAAAAUUUUACUGUACUUUGUUAAAGAUGCUAUAUAAGCUGUAAUUCAAAUUCACCUCUAUGAGAAUUACUCAUUCCCUGGUAUCACCCAUGUAUAUAUAAAAUAUACAUGUUAAUAAAUGUGGUUUUUUUAAUUAAUCUGUCUAUUGUUACAGGGGUCCAUUCCAACUACGAACCUAUGAGAAUUGGAGAAAAAAUUAUUGUUCUUCCCCUACAUGCCCGUGAGAAAAAUGGGCUUGGACGGAAAACAAAAUGGCUUUCCCAUAAUUAAUUAGUGGUGUUGCCAGCACUCUAUCCCAGGUCCCUAUCGCAGAGCUUACAUGGUACCAUGAAACUUUUAAAUUUCUACUUUGCAAAUUUUCCUCCCUUGCUCCAUGCUCAGCUGUGGUUCCAUUUGUGCUUCUGUUUCUUAUGAGUUAUAUCUUUGUUUUACCCAAGGAUCAAGAUAUUAACCUCCUGGAAUGAUUGUACCUAGCAACAAGCUGCAGUGGAGAUGAGAAAAAACAUCCUCAUCCAUUUCUUGCGGCUUAGCUCUCCUUCAUAUGGAUGGAUGGUGGUUGGUGCCUCUUGGAAAGGUUGGUGCCUCCUUGACAGUGGAAGCCAGGAAGCCACGCAUUUCCCAGAUUCCCUUGCAGAUAAGGUUUCAAGUGUGAAUGAGAUUCCAUCAAUCAGAAGUACCAUAUGAGAUUUGGAAGGCAAAAAAUGAAGCUGACAUUUGCUCCUGCUGUAUUUGUGGUCACUAGCUUUGUCAGUAUCAAAGCUCACAGCAUAUAACAUCCAUUUUACUGGCACAGGAUAAUUCUGGAGCAGCAGUGGCUUCCUGAUCAUCACUGAUUCCUGAUCUUGGUGCUUCUUGAUCAUGGCUCUGUGGUGGUGGGAUUCUGGGAGCUGACAUCUGCAAGGCAACUUCCCAGUUAGGCAGCAGCUCCUUUGGUGGAUCAGUCCAAUAGUGUAACUUUGACAAUCAUUCCUGAAAGUUCAAACUUGAGUCUUUACCCCCUGGAAAACAUUUGAUUCUCUGUAACUAAAUGUAUGCUGAUUAAAUUCUCCAACCCAUCUUCUGGGAAUUUGGCCAACAGAUAUACCUAUAAUCCAUAUGUAUGCAAAAAUGCAUGUAUAAAAUUCACUAAAGCAUGGCUUUAUAUCAGGAAAGAUUUGGAAAUCACCUAAAUGUUCAUUAGUAAGGAAUUGGUUAAAUAAUAUUGUAUCUACAUACUUUAGCCCUAUGCUGACAAUUUUAUUUUUUAAAAGAAAAUAUCUCUAGCUAUACAGCUACAGAGAGAUAUUCCCAACACGAUGUUAAGUACUGGUGCUAAAUAUUUUAUUUUUUGCCUGGAUAGCCACACCUACCACUCACAGCCCAUAUGCUUGGAAAAUGAUAACUCCACCCCUGGCUCUAAGGUGAGUCCUUCCUCGGCUCACAUCUAAUGAAUUCAUGUAACCCCAUCCUUUUCUAAGGAGAUUGGUUCCAAUGGAGGCACAUGACCCAAUUCAUGCCAAUAAGAUGUGAAAAUUGUUGACUUGAGCCUCCAAGUGAAAAAACAUUAAAAUUAAUGUUUUCUGGCUCUUCUGAGAGAACUUCAAGAAAUAACUCUCUCUCUUUCUGCCUACAUAUGGACAUGCAGGUAUGUAGCCCUGGGGAUGUUAACAAGUCAUAUGACAGCCAGGAUGGGAAGCCAGCCUUAACAAUAAUAGCAUGAAAGGCAAAGCAGACAGAGAGAAACCAUAUCUCUGAUAACAUAGUUAAGCCACUGAGUCAAAUCCACCUUGAAUCAAGCUCUUUCUCUGAACUUCUAAUUAUGUAGGUCAACAAAUUCAGUUUAUUAUGCAGGGUAGUUUGGUUUUGGAUUAUGUGCAAUGGAACUUAUUCUAUAAAUUAAGUGCAAAAAAAAUGCAAGGAGCCUAAACAGGUAUGUAAUGCAUUAUCCCACGUAUGUUAAAAAUGAAAAAUUUUUCUUUUUUCUUUUUUUUUUGAGACAGAGUCUCACUCUAUUGGCAGGCUGGAGUACAGUGGUGCGAUCUCAGCUCACUGCAACCUCUGCCUCCCGGAUUCAAGUAAUUCUCCUGUCUCAGCCUCUCGAGUAGCUGGGACUACAGGUGCAUGCCACCACCCCGGCUAAUUUUUGUAUUUUCAGUAGAGACGGGGUUUCACCAUGUUGGCCAGGAUGGUCUCAAUUUCUUGACCUCGUGAUCCACCCGCCUCGGCCUCCCAAAGUGCUAGGAUUACAGGGGUGAGCCACCGCACCUGCCCUAAAAAUGAAAAAAUUUUAAAUACAUAUAUACAAAUGUACUUUAUCAUGUAUAGAAAAUUUUUAAGAAGAUACACAAAACUGUUCAUUGUAGUGAUUUCUGAGGAGUUAGGGAGACUUUUCAUUAUUUAUCUUUUUAUAUUUGAACUUGUUUAAUCAAUUACAUAUAUGACUUUAAUAAUUCUACUUUUAAAAUAGAAUCAUCUAUUUUGCUCAUAAAGAAAUAUCAACACACACACACACAAAAAUAGCUUGGAUCUAUUUAAUCAUUGUCUGUGCAGGCAGAGGAAAGGAAAAGCUCCUCUUUAGGUGACAUCAUCUCUGCACUGGGAAGCAGGGGCCAGAGGCAAGUCAGGGUCUGUAUCCCCCAUAGCCAGGUGUCAUUCAGGACAUAGCAGCUGGCUUCAGGCUUCAGAUGUAGAGUAUACUCUCUCUAUCAUGUUUAUCUGCAUGAUCUUAUUUACAUAUGGAAUUUUAAGAAGUCUAUGUCAUAGAAACAGAGAGCAGAAGAGUAGUUACCAGGAGCCAGAGGGGUGGAGAAAUGGGGUUGGCCCAAGGGCUCGAACUUUCUGUUAUAAGAGGAAUACGUUCUGAAGAACUAAUAUACAGCAUGGUGAUUAUAGCUAAUAAUAAUGUAUUACCUACUUGAAAUUUGUUAGGAGAGUACAUCUUAAGUAUCAUCACCACAAAAAAAGGUAACUAUGUUAAUCAGCUUGAUUGAUUGUGGUAAUUUCACAACAUGUAAGUAUAUCAAAACAUCAUGUUGUACACUUUAAAUGUAUGCAAUUUUUAUUUGUCAGUUAUACCUCAAUAAAGCUGGGGAAGAUGUAGAGGAUGCUGACUAUCUAUUGAUAACAUGCCGUGAGGUUUCAUGGACCUCAUGCAAUUAAGCUGUCCCUGCAAGAAAUCUGGGGGCAAUCUAAGAAGACCUGCCCUUGAGUUUUCCUUUCCCUAUGCAGUUGAAGAACCUUUGCCUUUGGUCUUAGAGGCUUCUGGAGAAAGGCCAGUUGAGAAGCCACCAUCACUCAUUUUGUUGUUGUUGUUGUUUGUUUUGUUUUGUUUUUGUUGCCCAAGCUGGAGUGCAAUGGUGCCAUCUUGGCUCACUGCAGUCUCCACCUCCCAGGUUCAAGCAAUUCUCCUGCCUCAGCCACCAGAGUAGCUGGGACUACAGGCACCCGCCACCAUGCCUCGCUAAUUUUUGUAUUUUUUAGUAGAGACAGGAUUUCUCCAUGUUGGCCAGGCCGGUCUUGAACUCCUGACCUCAGGUGAUCCACCCCGAUCGUCCUCACAAAGUGCUGGGAUUACAGGCAUGAGCCACCUUGCUCGGCUCCAUCACUUGUUUUUUACAGCAUCCUCUUCAUCUGCAGCAACUUCAGAGUAGACAGGAAGAGGCACCUCUGGGCUCUUUAUAAGGCUCUCCCUCCCUCUAAACGCCACGCAAUCUUCACAGGAAAGCUUGCCUGGCUUUUUCCUCCCUCCCCGCCUGCAUUCUGACUGCUCCCUUUACCUUGAAUGUCAUCACAGGUCGGCUUUCCUGGGAAGCAGGCUAAGGGACUAUUUUUAAAAUUAUUACAAUUUUUAAAAAUCAGAUGAGCCUAUUUGUAAAACUAAAAUGUAGAGAACAGACACACACACACGUCCCCAUUCUGUCCCAGUUAUAGAGUUCAAGGGACUAAGAUGGUGGGACCCACAAUUUCUAGUCACUGCACUUAUUUUUAAAAGGAAGAAAAGAAAAAGAAGCCUAAAUGAUGCUAUUAUGGCGGCUAAUUAAAUUUCUUCUUGCUGUUACAAUGCAUUCAUUUUUGAGGAUCAUUACUUUUCGUGUAGCUUCUCUCAAGAGCUUGGUUUAAGGUUUAAGUUAAGGAAACCGCAAGACAAGCCUUAAAGCCGCAGGCUGUGCAUACAUCCGCCCGUGGCAGUGUGCGCCCUGCGCAGGAGAACUCCUGCAAGAGAAAAUGAUGACCAAGCUGCCAUUUCUUUUGAAGUACAUGAAAUGAAAAGGAAGGGGGGAACAGCUCUUCUUUUUAUAGAAGGAGAUCCACCGAGUUGAUAGACAGGAGUGUGUUUGCAUAUAGCCUUUAGCUAAUGUUCAAAAUUCAGGGUGUUCAUUUCCUAUUUAAUAUUCAUUUAUUCCACCAAAAGACACGAGUUGCCCUAGAUGUGCCAGGAGCUCUGACAUAUGUAAGGGAAAGAGGGUAGAGAGUAGGUGAGGCUCAGAGACAGCUUUGGGGAAAAGGUAGCACUGCGCUGGCCCCAGGGGUGUGUGCUGGAGACAGGUCAGACUGGAGCAAGGCAAUCGUGCACACCUCUUCUCAAUGCCACGUUCACUCCCAUUUGGUUCAUAAUUUGAAAUAAGCCAUUGUGGGAUUAUUUCCACCACAGAAGUUGGCAAACACUACAAUCACAGCUUCUUUUUCUCCCCUUCUGGAGAGCCAGUCUACCAGCUGCACACUGGCUGCACCUCAUUUUCCAGAUGAGAAACUGAGGCAGAGACAGGAAGGAUGUCUUAUUCUUUGUCUUCCUUAGUCUACCAGCGCAGUGUUUACCACACCACAGAUGCCCCAUAAAUAUGUGUGACUAACUAAAAUGGGGGUAUUCAAAUUGCUUUCCUCCUUUUAUCUAAGUUAUUGAUAAAUACAACUAAAAGUGUAAAAGAUAAUGCAAUUGUAUUAAACCAAAAUGUAGCGGCAGAAACAAAUAACCUAAACCUAAGAAAACAUAUCAAGUGUUACAGAAAAAAUAAGUUGCUAGCAUUUUCUGCUAGAGGGAGCUUUGAUAACUUUUUGUUGUUAUUUUCCUAACCAAAUUAGACCCUUUUAAGAUCUCGAGGCCGGGUGCGGUGGCUCACACCUGUAAUAGCAGCACUUUGGAAGGCCGAGGCGGGUGGAUCACGAGGUCGGGAGAUCCAGACCAUCCUGGCUAACACGGUGAAACCCCGUCUCUACUAAAAACAGAAAAAA
rnacentral:lncRNA from 10 species